UGGGGAAUCUUGCGCAAUGGGCGAAAGCUUGACGCAGCGACGCCGCGUGCGGGAAGAAGGCCUUCGGGUUGUAAACCGCUUUCAGGAGGGAAGAAGCGAAAGUGACGGUACCUCCAGAAGAAGCCCCGGCCAACUACGUGCCAGCAGCCGCGGUACUACGUAGGGGGCGAGCGUUGUCCGGAAUUAUUGGGCGUAAAGAGCUCGUAGGCGGUCCGCUAAGUCGGAUGUGAAAUCUCAGGGCCCAACCCUGAUACUGCAUCUGAUACUGGCGGACUUGAGGCAGGUAGGGGAAGGUGGAAUUCCUGGUGUAGCGGUGAAAUGCGCAGAUAUCAGGAGGAACACCAAUGGCGAAGGCAGCCUUCUGGGCCUGUACUGACGCUGAGGAGCGAAAGCGUGGGGAGCAAACAGGAUUAGAUACCCGUGUAGUCC
rnacentral:rRNA from 1 species